rnacentral:rRNA from 1 species
GGAAGUAAAAGUCGUAAACAAGGUCUCCGUUGGUGAACCAGCGGAGGGAUCAUUAUCGAGUUAUUCAACUCCCAAACCCUAUGUGAACUUACCACUUGUUGCUUCGGCGCGCGCUUCGGCGCCGCCGAGGACACUUAAACUCUUUGUUUUUAUAAGCAUUUCUGAGUGGCCGAAAGGCAAAAAUACAAAUGAAUCAAAACUUUCAACAACGGAUCUCUUGGUUCUGGCAUCGAUGAAGAACGCAGCGAAAUGCGAUAAGUAAUGUGAAUUGCAGAAUUCAGUGAAUCAUCGAAUCUUUGAACGCACAUUGCGCCCGCCAGCAUUCUGGCGGGCAUGCCUGUUCGAGCGUCAUUUCAACCCUCGAGCCCGACUCUUUUGAGGACGGCUCGGCGUUGGGGGACGGCAGACUCCCCCCGGCAUCUCGCCGGGGACGCCGCCCCCGAAAUCUAGUGGCGGCCCUCCGAGGCGACCUCUGCGUAGUAACUUGUUCUCGCACCGGAAAGCUCAGAGCGGCCACGCCGUAAAACCCCAACUUUUUUCAGGUUGACCUCGAAUCUGGUAGGACUACCCGCUGAACUUAAGCAUAUCAACAAGCGGAGGAAAAGAAACCAACAGGGAUUGCCUCAGUAACG